GUAGGCCCAAAUGUUAAACCCAAAUUGGUUCGAGCCGGUUCUAAAUGUGGAUGGUUCGGUUUCUUCGGCCCAAUUGGCCAGCCCUAAUGCUUAGCCCAAGGAUUGAGCAAGCCCAAGUCAUCAUCACUGGGUGACAUGUUUUAUUGGCGUGCUUUUGAGAAUGAUUUGUUUUGAGUGAUGCUAAUUGAGAAGCGAAACGCUUUGUGGGAGUGUUUACUGUGCUUGUAUGCCAGUACAGGAUGACGAUCUGUGUGAAAACAGCUAUAUGUGCAAUGCCACGUGGUGAUUUGAGUGUGGGUUGCUUGAGGCAAUUGUUGUGUUGUAAUUUUGAGAAAUGAUGCGGUGAAGGAAUGUCAUGUUGAUGACUUAAGUGGGGAUGAGGAUUUCAUUUGUGAAUUCUCGUUGUGUGAGUUUACGUUUGUGAUGAAAGGAUUUAGUGGCCAUAGGAAUGUAUUUUUAUACAAAGGGCUGUGGUUUUGUAGAUUACUACAGUUUUGGGAAAGAUGGAGAUUCGAUGGUUAGGUUAACUGUAAUCGAGAGCAAUUAACUUGCGCUUAAAUUUCGGGACGAAAUUUCUUUAAGGAGGGUAGAUUGUAAUAACCUAGUUUUUUUUAAUCAAACAAUUUGGUGGCAAACACCGGUUCCGUGAUUUAAGGUUAGUGGACAAUUGCAUAAUUUGAAGGCCGGUGCUUUAACAUGAUUAUGCAUGAGUGGAAGAACGAAUCAAUUAAGCUAAGAAACGAAUUCUCUCUCUCUCACGUCCGAAACCACCCAAAACAGAGCAAAACUUCUCCAAACUCUCUCUCACUCCACCGGCCACCAAUCAAGACCAGAACACUUCCUAUAGCUUCGCCUCGACCUUGCGCAGCUGCAGGUGGCAGCCUUGAACCACGACACGGCCACCAGCGGCGGCGGGAAGCUCCGCCCGGUUUGAGCUCGUUUUGGUUCCAAGCUUGAUAUCUCAAGCUACCGGCCAACAAUCCUCACCAAACUUCACCCACGAGCUCGCCUCAACGUCCUGAAGCUCCCAGAAGUGGCCUUGCACGGCGGCGCUACUCGUGGUGGCGGCUGGAAGCCAGACCCGAUCAAAUCGAAAACCGAAGCUUCGAUCGGUAUAUCUCGAGCUGUAGUGCAUCGUUUUGAUUGAUUCUUUUUCCAGUGGGUUCCCCUUGAUGUUGUUAACAACUCUCUAGAAGGCAUCGAGGCCUGAAAUUGAAGUUUUUACGUCGAUCGGAGCCCUCGCCGGAUUCUGCAAAAUUCUGCAAAUUUUCCGACCACCGAAGCUUUCGAUCGGUAUAUCUCGAGCUACAGACCAUAUUUUUCUGUGAUUCUUGAACCAAUGCGUUCGUCUUGAGUUUCUUAACAACUCUCUAGAAGGAAUCGAAGCCUGAAAUUGAAGUUUUGACGUCGAAAUCAAGCCUUGCCGGAUUCUGCAAAUUUCGCCGGAUUCUGGAAAUUUUCCGGCCACCUCGACUGUUCUAGGUUAUUGACGGUUUGAGUUGGUGGACGAUUGUGGAUCGUAUUUUGAGCUGAAUUGAAGACGCAGCGGGAUUAUCGAGCGGGAAAUCCUACAGGUCAGGAGAACCAGGACGGUGAUCGGGCUGCUUAGAGUAGUGUUAUGUGAAUUACAGCAUUAUAUUGUGAGGUUUGUUAUGCUCAUUUAGAGCUUUGCAAUUUUACUUUGUAAGAGUGAAUUGUAAUAAUUAACUCGAGGUUUUCGAGUUUUUGUGUUGAGUGGCGAGUGGUGUGUUUGUUUGUGAGAAAAAAAUUCAGAACGUAUUUGUAUUAAUUGUUUAUUCAUGUUUCGGAUUUGAAUUGGUUAUUCAAAAUUCGGGGCG